rnacentral:lncRNA from 1 species
GAUUCCACAGCUUUUCCUGCAAGUUAUGUUGCUCGCUUUGGCUUAUUUUUCUGUCUUGCUGGCCCCUUCCUGUAGUCAGUCAAGCCAGUGACCUGUGCUCGAGGACACAGAAAACUGUAGAGAAAUAUUGGUUCCUGGAUUUCGUGCCCACACAACAUCCCUGUAUGGGACAUGCACACUCAGCAUGUACACUGCUCAGGGCGCUAAUUCACAAGUCCACAUCGUCCACCGCACAACAGACUGCUCUCAGACCUCACCUCCUCAGGGUGCUGGAAUGAACUCCUUCCCAAGGGAGUGCUGUGGAUGACUUUUGGAAGUCUUAACACUGUCUCCAGUCCUUCAGCCACACUCGGGGAAGCAUCUUCAAACACAAGAGGCCUCGGAAUCAAGCAAGAAAAAUUCUUGAGCCUCAUGACCCUGAAGAGGUGAUUGAGGGCUCCCGUUUAGAACUAUCACUUCUGUUACCCACAAAAUGACUGGAG